UCCGAAUUGGUGUAGUGGCUAACAUAUGUCGCUCUCAACCCGUCUAUAAUAAACGUUAUAGAUGUGAAGAUGUGCCGACAUGCCCGGGGUUCGAUUCCCCGAUUCGGAG